rnacentral:rRNA from 1 species
ACGCACGCUGGCGGCGUGCUUCACACAUGCAAGUCGAACGGUGAAGCGCCUUCCUUUUUGGUGGGUGUGGAUGAGUGGCGAACGGGUGAGUAACACGUGAGUAACCUGCCCCCUUCUUCUGGAUAACCGCAUGAAAGUGUGGCUAAUACGGGAUAUUCUGGGUCUGUCGCAUGAUGGGUCUGGGAAAGAUAUUGUUUCGGUGGGGGAUGGGCUCGCGGCCUAUCAGCUUGUUGGUGGGGUGAUGGCCUACCAAGGCGGUGACGGGUAGCCGGCCUGAGAGGGUGGACGGUCACACUGGGACUGAGACACGGCCCAGACUCCUACGGGAGGCAGCAGUGGGGAAUAUUGCACAAUGGGCGCAAGCCUGAUGCAGCGACGCCGCGUGAGGGAUGGAGGCCUUCGGGUUGUGAACCUCUUUCGCCAGUGAAGCAGGCCUGCCUCGUUUGUGGGUGGGUUGACGGUAGCUGGAGAAGAAGCGCCGGCUAACUACGUG